AAUAGAUACCCUGGUAGUCCACGCCCUAAACGAUGCGAACUGGAUGUUGGGUUCAACUUGGAACCCAGUAUCGAAGCUAACGCGUUAAGUUCGCCGCCUGGGGAGUACGGUCGCAAGACUGAAACUCAAAGGAAUUGACGGGGGCCCGCACAAGCGGUGGAGUAUGUGGUUUAAUUCGAUGCAACGCGAAGAACCUUACCUGGCCUUGACAUCCACGGAACUUUCCAGAGAUGGAUUGGUGCCUUCGGGAACCGUGAGACAGGUGCUGCAUGGCUGUCGUCAGCUCGUGUCGUGAGAUGUUGGGUUAAGUCCCGCAACGAGCGCAACCCUUGUCCUUAGUUGCCAGCACGUAAUGGUGGGAACUCUAAGGAGACCGCGGUGACAAACCGGAGGAAGGUGGGAUGACGUCAAGUCAUCAUGGCCCUUACGACCAGGGCUACACACGUACUACAAUGGUGGGGACAGAGGGCUGCAAUCCCGCGAGGGUGAGCCAAUCCCGAGAAACCCCAUCUCAGUCCGGAUCGGAGUCUGCAACUCGACUCCG
rnacentral:rRNA from 1 species